CCACCCUUCCAUGCCAUACCCCGACAUAGGGAUCCACUGGGGAAAUGAAAAUAUACAUUCAAUCUUAUAUCGGAAAAAUUCAACAGUAGAAAUUGGUGAUUUACCUGUGAAGUGAUGAAUCUUUAAAAUACUGGACCAGCAAUGUUUGUAUAUGAGCCUAGUCUUUUCAAAUAAUGCUUUUUAAAACGAAAUUUGAAAAUAUAUCUUAAUCUUUAUUAUGUUUGGUACUUUUGGAUAUAUGUUGGAGACAUGUACAUCACACAUUAUGUACUAUUAUUCAGUGAAAUGUAUUUUUUUUUUAAAAUAAUCAACAACUCCAAAGCGCCUUAAGUUGUUUGUAUACAUAUUGCGUUAUUCUCUGAUAAAACACAAACUUCAAUUUUGUCGUUGGUUUCAAUAAGCUAGAAUGAUUAAAAUGUUUUCUCCCUUUGCUUUUGUGAUUUGAUAUUGACAUAACUCAAAGCACAACACAUUUUUUCGUAUAUCUGUGUGUAGAUAUCGGUCAACACAUGGUUGGAAACUGUACGGUGUCUGCAAUUGUCAAAGAGUGCUUGUCAAAUAUCAUUGGAUACUGUAUCACGCGUAUCCAAAUGCCCUACAAACAAAGAAGAAUAUGAAUCUGAAGCAAAGAGGAAGAAAUGCAGUCAAUACAACAACGCCAGAUGUCCACCACUUCUGUAUCACUGUGUCUGGAAUGCCCAUACGACAUAUUUGGUCGAGGUGUGUGCAGCAUCACGGUAUAUUAUAGGUAGAAUAUGUGCGUCAUUCAGUCAUAGGAUAUCUCGUCGUUCGUGGGAACUAUAUAGGAAAAUGUUCCUACCUUACCCCUCCGUGUCCGAUGUUUUAUAAGUCUACAGAGUCUUACAAAUACUCUGGAUGUUAUACAUUGGGCGAGAAUUCAAAACCUAUAACAGAUAGGGAAGUUUACAUGGAGAGAGAGAGACAGAGAGAAAGAAAGAGACAGAAACACACAGAAAAAGUAUACUUUGUUUCUAAUUCUAAAUUUCGCAUGCACUCCUUCCCUUAUAAAAAACAAAUAAUAUCUGCUCUCGUGUUGCGAUAUACCAUGCAAUGUCAAUUUCUCAAACGUAUAUAUGACCUGUUUUCCUUGAUGCACAUGAUCAUAUUCAUAUAGCCAUGAACUGCUUUAAGAUGUCAUACGAAGCAUUAAGGUAAGGUUUGCAAUAAAAGGGAGAUAACUAUCGAUGUGCCACAGUGCACUUCCCACUUUAUGACGUCAUAAUGAAAAAUGCGUCACGGCAUAGUUGUAUUGCGGGAAAAUGUGAUAUUUACUUGUUAUCUACUGUCAAGUGUCAAGCGGCGUAUUUGCAAAUAUCCACAACAAAAUAAUAAAAAUGUUUCUCAAAUGAUCAUUUAUAAAUAUUUUUUGAUAUUAUAAAAGUCAACAAUUUUCUAUAUAUAGUAUUCGCUAUGGUAAUUUCCAAUUUAUGUUGUGGUCUUGAAAUAGCCCCUACUGGGCAUCGUCA